UUUGAUAAUAAGCUGGAUCUGCUGUGACUCCGCCCACCUAUAGGGUAUUUGUUUCUUUUGCAGAUCUGAGGUUUUUCUGAGAAGGGAGUUUCUGACAACCUCUUCUAUACUAACAGCAACAAUAUCAAAAUCUUUUGACAGCAUGAUCAAAGAACUGUUGAUAAUAGCUUUCAAGAUGAUCCUAGUUUUAGGAUCUUCUCAUGAAGUCCACCAGACUCCAUUUUAUAUUCAAGCAAAGCCAAGAGAAACCGCCAGAAUCAACUGCUCUCACAGUAUUCAGAACUACAAUGUAAUCCUGUGGUAUAAGAGAUCAGAGGACAGACAGCUUCAGCUCCUGGGAUAUAUGUAUCUAGACAACAAAAAUCCUGAACCUGGAGUGACUGUGGAGAUGGAUGGAAAUGCAGCUAAAGACCAGAACUGCACUUUAAUAAUUAAAGACCUCAGUGUGAGCAGCAGCGCAGUUUACUUCUGUGCAGCCAGCUAUCACAGUGCUGCAUAUUACUGCUCCUCAGUACAUAAACCACCACAUCACUGUUUCUGUAAUCUGUAUCUCAGCUCACAUCCUGCUGCACCUGUGUGAACACACUUUUAUUCAUUAUUUUUUAUCUAAUGACUGUCCUCAGUCUCUGCCGUGGAGGCUGAAGUUUAUGAUAUUGGAUCAUGACGGAAAUGCAUCUUUUCUUGGAAUUGCUUGAGACAUCUAAAAGCUUUGCAACUAUGUGUUGCUGCUGGUACAGGAAAAGUUAUUUCUUCUUUCCAAAGAUCCAAACUAUGCAGGGAUGUUUAAAGGAAGAUUCCAAAUUGAUCUUGGGUGAGUGUCUAUACCCGUCGUACGACAGGAUCCUGUUUGUAGACUUCAGCUCGGCCUUCAACACCAUCAUACCAGACAUCCUCCACCAGAAGCUCAUCCAGCUCAACGUCCCAGCC